GGAUCCGCAUGAAAGCCUUUAGAUCCGUCUGUAGCGGACAUACGGUAUCUGACUGUGGGCCAGAUCUGCACCUGAUAAGAUUUCAGCUCUGCUAGCAAAGCUGUUUUUUCAUCGAUUUACAGAUUUGUUCCAGGUCCGGUUUCCGCAACUCAACCGGAAGUCAGGAGAUGCGUUUAAAAUACAAAACACUAAUUUGGCCCAAACCUGUGAUACGGAUAUGGGCAGAAGGAGCAGGUGGUAAUUGAACAGAGAAGUCAACUAGCUGGCUGCUGUAGAAUAAAAGUAUUUUGUAAUGGCACAAAUUUAGAAACAUGAGGGUGCACUAUGUGCCCAUGGCCACUUCAUUUCUACACUAAAUUUAAGCUAAUUGGCUCAGUAUAUGUGCCAGUUAGACUUUUCAGUGCUGUUUUUCUACAGUCAGCAGAUUUGGGCCAGAUCCACUUACCACAUCAGAACCAAAGCUUCCAGAAAGACAGUUCCCUGAUGUGGCCCACAUCUGUAAUAUUGACCCAAACCACCUCCAAACUUGUGUGUUCCACUCUGGUUUACUGAACAGAGCCGAACGCGCGAAGUGAGUGAGGUCCGUCCGUUUGAGAGACGUUAUGCUGAUCUGGCCCUCAUCCGUACCACGGAUUAUAGCCAGAAACCGUUGGAAUAGAUCAAAUGAAACUUUUGUGGGGGUGCCCAUGCCAUAUUUCGUUAUUAAAUCCUGAUUUGUUAAAUCUUACAAUGGAACACUUGCACGUAGCCUACACAAAAAUGAUUAAUUCACUAACAAAGUAAUAGGCUUGUCUCAAAAUGGAAGAUUUACCACAUAACAAAAUAAUACAUUAGCAACUGUCCACUAUCCAAGUGCAAUGGUCCAAGCUGUAUUGCCAUCCUGGGAAGAAAAAAAGUUGCGAACAUCGUGGGAAAAAACGGCACUGGCGCACAUAAUGGAUGGCAGCAUGGGUGCAUUUAUAGUCCAUCAUGACAUAAAAAAUCCUCUGCAUGCAACCACGAGGAGAGGGGGAAUUUACUAAGGAGUUUUGUCUAUAUAUUAUAUAAAAUCUACUGUUGGGAAGAGCAGAACCUAAUCCAAAUAAAAAUAAACAAGCUGUUAAAAGCCAGUUGAAGGUGGUCAACACAAACCAAAUGAAGAUGUUGCACAUUCCACAAACAAUAAAAAAGAAGAUCAAGUUUUGUGUCCAACACACUUGGAUGAGACGUGCCCGACCCCUGACUUUGUCUACCCUACAUUAAGUUGUGAUGGCACACUUCAUGACAGUAAACAUUGGUAUCAAGAUGAUGUGAUUGAUCUAUACCCUAGAAUAAGCUGUGACACUAUGAGACGGUGACAUAAUGAACAGCCAUUUCCAGACAACCGAAACAGUAUUGUCUACAAUACCAAAUUCUGGAUUGACGCCCCAGUACCAGAAGGCACUCCAAUCCCAGAGAGCAUCCCAUUGUGAGGUAACACAACGAAAAAAUAACAGGAUGGAGACAACCUGAUUCUUCACCUAUGGCCUUAGCUUCAAAUGCAAGAAGUCCAGCAACUUUCUGAGCUGGUGGAUAUUCUAUCAGAGACUGCAUGAACAACGUUAUGAACAGAAUGAUGUCUAAUUGUCUUAUGGCAAAGUUCAAUAUGAGGGGUGGUGGACAUCUGGAAAAUAAGUCUUUUAAAGGCACACCUUUGUAUUAUGUUAUUCAAGAUGCUGUGAGGAGGUGGAGCCCAAAAGCCACGGACUCGGAAAUCGAUGCAGCUAUGGCAGACCACCUCAAGCACGCUCCAGGAAGAGAGCUAGGGGUUGUGAAUACAAAAAAUAAGCCAAACAGAUGUAAUGUGUUAGAGAUAGUUCACACAAAAAUGAAAAUUGUUAUAAUUUACUUACCCACGUGUUUCAAACCUGUAUACAUUUCUAUUUUUUGCUGAACACAAAGAUUGAAUAAUGUUUGUAACCAAGCAUUUCUCACAACCCAUUAACUGUCAUAAUCAUU